AACGAACGCUGGCGGCAGGCUUAACACAUGCAAGUCGAGCGAGACCUUCGGGUCUAGCGGCGGACGGGUGAGUAACGCGUGGGAACCUGCCCUUCUCUACGGAAUAGCCCCGGGAAACUGGGAGUAAUACCGUAUACGCCCUUUGGGGGAAAGAUUUAUCGGAGAAGGAUCGGCCCGCGUUGGAUUAGGUAGUUGGUGGGGUAAUGGCCCACCAAGCCGACGAUCCAUAGCUGGUUUGAGAGGAUGAUCAGCCACACUGGGACUGAGACACGGCCCAGACUCCUACGGGAGGCAGCAGUGGGGAAUCUUAGACAAUGGGGGCAACCCUGAUCUAGCCAUGCCGCGUGAGUGAUGAAGGCCUUAGGGUUGUAAAGCUCUUUCAGCUGGGAAGAUAAUGACGGUACCAGCAGAAGAAGCCCCGGCUAACUCCGUG
rnacentral:rRNA from 1 species